UAAAUCGAAUAUCCGUUGACGAAAAAAGCAAACCAUCAUAAAACGCACGGCGAACGCGAGGGGAACGAAGUUUUGAGUUCAUGACUGUUGGCAACACAGUCGACGAACAAAGCGAGAUUAUUUAUAAAGCGAGCGAAGUCGAAUCCUGUCGUUCUUGUAAACGAAGUUAUUUUCGAAAGUGACUUCGGGGGUCCCCUUCGAAGUGAACGUGCCGAAGUAAGCUUCAUGAAAUCCUCCCAGGAUGUUUCAAACUCUCACCGGAUUUAAACAUUUAUUUUUAUAAUCGUAUAAAGAAAUGUCGCCUGAUGCUGCGUGCAAGAAAGCCCAGGUGUCGAUCCUUACGUCAACAAUAUUGCCAAAGAAAGCGAGCGAAGCGGAAGUGAUUAUCGAUACAGAAUGUGUCUCUAAAAUUCUGUGUCAUUCACGGAAGGAAGUCACGUGUUCAGGAAGUAAACCUAGCCGGAAAGAGGUGCUCGAGGCGAAAAGAGUUCGAUUAAGACGGCUUUUUGAAUGCGAUGCAAUUAAAUUGGAAAAUUCAUUACGCGAACUGGGAUUCGCUUUCAUUCCCACGCAACCUUGACCUUUUUCGUCACGUUUCUUUCAUUUCGUCUCUUCCUACGACUUUGAGAUUUAACGAAUCGGCAUUAAAUGACUGAACUUUCAUCGCUUUCAAUUUCAAAUGCAUUUGAGAAUAGUAUUUCCUUUAUCGCACCAAAAAAUUGCCAUUUGAAUGUUUAUGACAAAUUCGAAAUUUUACUAGGGAUUAAUUUUACGAUUUGCACAAAAAGAAAAAUAUCAAGUUAAUAAUAAUUUAACAAUCAAUUGUUUGGAUUAAGAAGGUAAAAUAAUAAAUUUAGAUUUAUUGAAACCGUAAUGUUGAGCUUUUUAACAAUAAUUAAAAUAAAUAAAAAUUAAAAGCUUUAUUAAUGAAAAUGUAAUCUCAUUUUCAAGAUGAUCUGUUAUUAAUUUCUUCGAAAUUUGAAGUUGUAAUAUAAAUUAAUUUUAAAUGUAAAUGAUAAAGAAAUACUUUCCGGAUCCACAAUCAUAAUCAGCUUUAAUUAUUGGCUAAUUUGAUUAAAAUAGUUAAUAAUGCAUAAUUAAUUAUUUUUGAAACCAGUCUAAAAUUUUUUUAUUUAACGUGAACAUUUUUGAUCUAGACUUUUCAGACAUCGAAGAAUAUCAAUUUUAAAAAAUUUGAACUUUUUUCUAAAUAUUCAUAAAAGUAAUUCUCUCGCGAAGAUUUAAUAGAUAUGCAGACGAAAACAAUAUUGGGACACGAAUAAUUAUAAUAAAAAGUUUUAGAUGAUAUGGUUUGAUAAAAUAAUUAAAGUAUCAAAUUAAAUAUAAAUGAAGUAAAUAUAAAAUAAUAGUAACAAUAAGAAAGAAGAGAUUCUAGAUUGAUAUAUUAUUUAAACGCUUACGAAACAGAUGUACUCAAUUUCUGCUAUCAAUCUGCCGUCUGCAGUUUUUAUCAACAGAACAUAAAUUUAUUGCGAACGUAGUUAAUGUCAAUCUGCUACAAUUUAGUGAUUGAACUUAUGGCUAUACUGUUGUUUAUUGCAAAUGUUUUAUCAUAUGGAUAUAAAUCUAUCUUAACGUUGUAUGUAACUCUUAUAUUAUGUUAAUACUGUAAAGUUGGGUUAUCCUUUUUUAUACAUUCCUUUCAACUUAAAUGUCUCACGACGUCUUGAAGAUGAUUUAUUAUCUAUUGACGGUACAUACAUAAUGUAUA